GAUGAAGAACGUAGCGAAAUGCGAUACGUAAUGUGAAUUGCAGAAUUCAGUGAAUCAUCGAAUCUUUGAACGCACAUUGCGCCUGCCAGCACUCUGGCAGGCAUGCCUGUUCGAGCGUCAUUUCAACCAUCAAGCCCUAGGCUUGCGUUGGAGCCCUGCGGCUGCCGCAGGCCCCUAAAAGCAGUGGCGGGCUCGCUAUCACACCGAGUGCAGUAGAUUACUCUUCGCUCAGGGCGUGUGGCGGGUUCCGGCCGUGAAACCCCCUACUUCUCAAGGUUGACCUCGGAUCAGGUAGGAAUACCCGCUGAACUUAAGCAUAUCAAUAAGCGGAGGA
rnacentral:misc_RNA from 1 species